UUGGGUUACAGUGCAGGACUGGCAGCCUCCUCUCAGGAGAGAAUGGAGGCUCUUUGUGGCAGGAUGAGCUGGACGCUCUGAAAGGGAAGAUCGAGCCAAGCCGAGACGGACGGGGAGUCGAAGACGACUGGAGGGAAGUUGCGUAAACUGUUGUGGAAGGUUAAGGAAGGCUGCGAGCUGUCUCCUGCCUGCAGCCUGUGGCUUUGAUUAAUCCGUGUGAUAAUGAAGACAAGCCACAAAUCCUGCUGCUGAGGUGGCUUGCAGACAGGCGGGCCUUGUGAUGGAGGUGAUGGAGGUGAAGGUCUCGCAGCAAGCGGCCGAUGGGUCUUGAUGGAAAACAUGCAGAUACAGACUGCAACACAAAGGGAAUGAAUGAAAUAGGAAACCUCCUGUGGGUGGUUUUCAGUGCAAUAACAGAAUUGGAGGCUUAUCAAUCUGCCAUGAUGAUCUUCCAGCACUGCUCUUCCAGCAGCAGUCUCUUCCCCCCAUUCCCAUCUCUCUCUCCCCUAGAAGUCUCAGAGUGGCCGAGCUUUUCUGCUCCAGGUGGUCCGCAGCCAGCCACCUGUGUUGUCUUUGUGGCGCUGUCAACUGUCUCCGGGCAGGCUUUGUGGGGUUGCCAGUGUGAGGAAAGGCCUGGUGAGCACUGAUGAUGGAGAUAGUGCUUUCUGCUGCUCCUUCUCCCAGACUCUCACAGGACUGUGGUUGGACACAAGGAGCAAUGUUUACGGCUCGGUAACUGAAAUUCUGGGAAAUAGUUUUUGUUUUUUGUUUUUUCCAAGUGAGAUGAUGUGUUUAAAGAGGAUUGUGACAUGCCACCCCUUAUUUGUUUUGUGGAAACCCAUAAUCCUUGUAUGUUUGAACACAUCUGUAGUAAACUUUUUCUGUUUUUUUGAGUAAGAUAAAAGUAAAUUCAUCACGCUCAAAAUCAAACUUGUCCAACAUUGUGAUACAGAGCCAAUCUUAGUGUUGUAUGUUGUAUAACAAUAUAUUAUCAUGCAGUUCAGAACUCUUACUCACACUGCACUUACACCAAACUAACAUGUUUUUUUCUUUUUAAAAAGCUGCUAUCUUUUUACAUAACUGGGUAAGUAUUACAUUAUGACAUUUACCUAAACAUAUCUGUUAAUGUUCAAAAUGUAUCUUGUAAGAAUAAAAAAUGCAGAAUCUCUGGGUUAUAAUAUGUUUUAGUCAGUGACACUUCAUUCUUGCUAGAAAAUUACACUUAAAUGGUCAAAUGUGUAUUUGUUCCUUAUAAUCAUGUAACUGUGAACAUAGUACUAGUAUAAAUGGACUUUAUUUAUAAUGUGGCAUCAAUUACAAUGUAACUGGUUCAAAUGUGGCUUAAAA